rnacentral:pre_miRNA from 1 species
CUUGGGGCAGGGGGAGUGUCCCUCAGCCCAGAUUGUGAGAGGGUGAAGGCCAGGCUGAGGGACCCCACUGGUGCACA